rnacentral:lncRNA from 1 species
UUUUUUUUUUUUUUUUUCCUAAGAAGAACCCAGUUUAUACCAUUACAUAUUAAGUUAACAGCUUGUAUUCUUAGUAAACAGUCCUUUUGGCAUUCUAACAUCACCUAGCGAGGCAUUUAAAAUUUUCAGCUUAAGGACAUUUUUUUUCUCUUCCUUUUGUCUCGAUUCUCACCUUUUCCAGAGAUCCUCUGGGCAUAUUUUUACUGACAGUAACUUCCAUGCUCCUCUUUAGAGCCCAAUGUUUUACAUCUUAAUCUGGGACUUCAGUAUUAUUUUUGAUUGAUAUUCUCUCUUCUCAUCUUCAAAUUAAAAUAUCUGGACUUGCAUAGUUAUUAUCAUCUUUCUAGUUACAUUACCAGUUUUUUUUCCUACUGUAGCCAGAUCCAAACCUCCCUCCCAAUCAGUAACUGCCCCCAUUUCUACAGGGCCAAUACUACUUCCACUAAUGAAGGGGUGUGUCCACUGUUCUUCCUCAAGAUGGUCUAGUGUUACAAGCUCCUUCCAGUUUUAGCACCAGAGUGGGACAAGGGCAAUUUAAUGUACAUUGAAAAAUUCAGUAUUUUCAUUCAAAAGUAUCUAGACCUUUCCCAGGGAAAUAGGAGAAACAAAGCAAAUAUGUUUCUGGACUAAUCCCAGUGGCAAGCAGGGCUUCUCAAAGUUUCCACUGACAUAUCCCCCAAAAGAGAAGAACCUAAACAGCCCCCCAACCCCCCAACACCCCUGCCCCAAAUAUCCCUCCCUAAACUCCCAUCCUUCCCCACUGCAAACCCAGGGCUUUGUUUAAAGUCUCACAUUUUGCCUUUAAGCCAUAGUAUAUCCUUGCUGAUUUAACAUAAAAAUAAGGAUUAAAUUACUUAUCAGCAGGUAAAAUUAAAGGAUGUGCAUGUUUAUACUGUGCCUCCCCCCACCCCACCCCCACACACACCAAAUUAGCAAAUCAUUAGGAGAACUUACAAAAUUCUGAGGGGCAAGAAAACUCCUUUCUUCUAGUGAAAAAUCUAGCAAGAAAUGACAUUUUGUUGAACUGGUUAGUUAGUUAUCUUUUUUAUAGGUGAAGAGAAACAAAAGAAUUAUCAGUAAUUGUUAUUGGAAUGGUUGCCAUAUUGAAAAAAUCCUGUUUUUACUGGUCAUUACGUCCAACUCUUCAGAGUUGUGGGAAAAGUUUAUGAUUCUAUGAACAAGAAGAAUGAGACACUCAGAAAUGUGCAACUCUAGCAUAACACAAGAAGCAAUGAAGUAUAAUACAAACAAAACAAACCAGACAAAAAAGCAGAGUUUGCUUUGUUUUGUUACAAGCAUUUUAGUACUCACUAGCAGUAGCCUUAAAAUGGAACAGUCUGUUACUAGGUCACUACCCAUGAACAGUCACAAAUUAUAUACACUGUUAAUAACUCCCCACCCUAGACUCUAGAAUUAGGAGACAUUUUCAGCUACUCUGUUUUAUUAACUCACUAUGGUUUCUAAUAAAUGACUUAGUCCUCUUACAUUAGCUGAGAUUACAGCAAUAUUUUGCUAACAACUCUAUCAUGGUCUCAAAGAUUUUAAUUGCAGGAGGUAAAAAUGAUUUCAAUAGAGCUGCUGUUCUAAACAACCAAGUUAGAAGUGUCAUAGGGAGAGGCCAGCUGGGCCCCGCAGGCUGGCCUCAGGAUGAUAUUGCCUCAGUCAAGUCACAUUUUCCAGGGCUCAUUCCUCAGUUUUGCAAGUCCAGAAACUUAAUUUUGUCAGGGUGCCCAGAGUUGAUCAUACUCGAGGGAUGAAGUUCGUGCUAACUCA